rnacentral:lncRNA from 1 species
UCCCAGCCAAGGUGAACUGGUCUCUGGCUCAAGAGCACAGGCUCUGAGCCUUGGCUCCCGGCCCACAGGACUUAUAAAGGCUAGCGGUGGGGUGCACCCCAACUACGUUGCUACGACACGCUCUUUCAGGAGCUGCCUUUCCCCGCCCACUGUGGACUCUGGGCCGUGACUUCUGGCUGCUGGUUCUUUUCCUCUGCACCUCUGAUCAAGUCCGUACCAACCUUCUCCAGCGAGCGGCUGGUGAGCGUGAUUCGAAUUUGGUGAAUCGCCACUUGGGUAUCUUUAAAUGCCAUGGCGGAGGUGCGGCUUCCUGACUGACUUAUUCCUCAGCAAAAUCGAACAGAGGAUAGAAUACAACCUGCAAAUCUGCUGCUUCUAACUGUCUUCUUAAGAAGACACAGCUAGCAAAGUCUCUCACGGUGCAGAAGCUCCUCGGCUUAAGGCUUCCCAACAGGCUUGUAGCAUGCAUCAGGCUGCCAGAGGCGAAUAUCAACAAUGACCUGGUUGAGUUUCUGCAUCCAGAGAUCCCGCUCUUCUUUAGUAUCUGCAGAGAGCCAGUUCCUGCAAGGGCAAACAGAGGUCAGCUUCCAUCCCCCCAUUCCACGCACCCCACCCUACCACCAGCCCCCUAAUGCCUUU